CUAGUUUUUAAAUACAAUCUGUUCAAAUUACUUGCGUAAGUGUGCACGCCAUAGGUAGUGGUAAAGCUCGAACAUCGCCUACUUUCUUCCACAAUGACGUGUUAGGAGGAACACCAGCAAUUUCCUGGUAUAAAUUUGCAAGUUGUAACAUACCAUGUGCAACUUUAGAAAUUUUUAAUGAUGGAGCUGGUGGUGAAAGUUUCCAAAGAGGAUUUACAGCAUAAUUACGCGUAUCAGGUAAGGGUGCUGGAUGCUGAAACAAAUACAAUUAUAAACAUACAAGCAUAAACAUAAGUAGACAUAGAUAACUGCAUUAUUAAAACAAAACUGUUAAUUCAAAGUAUACCUUAUUUAACUGUACAUUAGAAGUAGCUGGAGUCGUCAAAAAUCGCACCGUUCCAUUUGCAAUAGUUGAUAUUCCUAUAAAUAACAUUGUAUUAUAUCUAUAUAUUAUUUAUAUUGAUGAUUUAAACUGAAACUACUUACCCGUUUUAUACGUUAAAGUUGGAAAUGAAGCUCUACACGAAGUCACGGGCCGUAUCUAUGAUUAGAAAUGUUUAUUAUAAAAUUGUAAACUAACUACAAAGCCUUAUUUUUCAACUUCAUUUUAUUAAAAAUAUAGCAAAAAAUAUUCAUUUUACCGGACUGGAAUUUGGUGUUAUUAAUAAUUGCCUUGUUGGCA